UCCGUAGGUGAACCUGCGGAGGGAUCAUUACCGAGUUUACAACUCCCAAACCCCUGUGAACAUACCUCUAUGUUGCCUCGGCGGAUCAGCCCGCGCCCCGUAAAACGGGACGGCCCGCCGCAGGAACCACAAACUCUGUUUUUAGUGGAACUUCUGAGUAUAAAAAACAAAUAAAUCAAAACUUUCAACAACGGAUCUCUUGGUUCUGGCAUCGAUGAAGAACGCAGCAAAAUGCGAUAAGUAAUGUGAAUUGCAGAAUUCAGUGAAUCAUCGAAUCUUUGAACGCACAUUGCGCCCGCCAGUAUUCUGGCGGGCAUGCCUGUUCGAGCGUCAUUUCAACCCUCAAGCUCAGCUUGGUGUUGGGAGCUGCGGUCAUCGCACUCCCCAAAUUGAUUGGCGGUCACGUCGAGCUUCCAUAGCGUAGUAAUUUACACAUCGUUACUGGUAAUCGUCGCGGCCACGCCGUUAAACCCCAACUUCUGAAUGUUGACCUCGGAUCAGGUAGGAAUACCCGCUGAACUUAAGCAUAUCAAUAAGCGGAGGA
rnacentral:rRNA from 1 species